UUGUGAAAUAUUCUGAUUUAUAACUAUAAAAUAUUGUUUUGUUCAUGGAAGAACUCAAUCUUACCCAGGAAAAUUGCAUUUAUACUCACUGUUAUUGGUAUGUAUAUAAUCAAUCAGUCAUAUUAAUUAUUUAGUAUAUAUAAAUUAGUAUUUAUUAAUACAUAAUUAAUUAAUUACUUCUCUGUACUUUUAUUUAGCGAAGAAAACGUGUGGAAAUUAUGCGAAAGUUUGAAGGAAAAAGUAGAUCUUAGUGAUUUUCAUGUUGUUUUUAUUUCCAAUGCAAACAAACAGGUGUAAUAUAUCUUUCAUUAAUUAUAUUUUACAUACUUAAUUAAUUUAUUAGUGAAAUAAGUUCGUUAAUAUAUUAAUUAAUCAUUCGUUAAUUUAUUAAUUAUGUUAAUUAUUAAUUAAGUGUUGGUUAAGUUCAAGUUGGUUUAUUAGUGUUGGUUACGUGUAAUAGUCAUGAUGUACCACUUUGUUUGUAGAUUCUUUUAUGGUGUCAAAAAUCAAGCAGAGAUUAUUUACAACCUGUGAUAUGGGUGAGAAAUUAACCUCAUUUGCAUUCAAGACAGCAUCAAACCUAGGGC